GAUGAACGCUAGCGGCAGGCUUAACACAUGCAAGUCGAGGGGCAGCGGGAUGUAGCAAUACAUUGCCGGCGACCGGCGCAAGGGUGCGUAACGCGUGAGCAACAUGCCCGUCACAGGAGGAUAAACCAUGGAAACGUGGCCUAAUACUCCAUAGUAUGUUUUGGAGGCAUCUCCAGGACAUUGAAGCUUCGGUGGUGACGGAUUGGCUCGCGUGACAUUAGCUAGAUGGAGAGGUAACGGCUCACCAUGGCGACGAUGUCUAGGGGAACUGAGAGGUUAAUCCCCCACACUGGUACUGAGACACGGACCAGACUCCUACGGGAGGCAGCAGUGAGGAAUAGUUGG
rnacentral:rRNA from 1 species